ensembl:rRNA 5S_rRNA 5S ribosomal RNA
GUCUAUGGCCAUACCACCCUGAACAUGCCUGAUCUUGUCUAAUCUUGGAAGCUAAGCAGGGUUGGGCCUGGUUAAUACUUGGAUGGGAGACCGCGUGGGUAUACUGGAUGCUGUAGGCU